UACGUAGGGGGCAAGCGUUGUCCGGAAUCAUUGGGCGUAAAGCGCGUGUAGGCGGCUUGGUAAGUCUGCUCUGAAAGCCCGGGGCUCAACCCCGGGAGGCGGGUGGAUACUGUCAAGCUCGAGUCCGGAAGAGGAGUGUGGAAUUCCUGGUGUAGCGGUGAAAUGCGCAGAUAUCAGGAAGAACACCGGUGGCGAAGGCGGCUCUCUGGGCCUUACCUGACGCUGAGGAGCGAAAGCGUGGGUAGCGAACAGG
rnacentral:rRNA from 1 species